rnacentral:tRNA from 1 species
GGGGGCGUAGCUCAGGGGUAAGAGCGACGGUCUCAUAAACCGUUGGUCGCUGGUUCAAAUCCAGCCGCCCCCA